rnacentral:sRNA from 1 species
GCCCUCGGUCGAAGAGGACGACCUUCCCCGAAUAGAGGAGGACCGGUCUUCGGUCAAGGGUAUACGAGUAGCUGUGCUCCCCUGCUAGAACCUCCAAACAAGCUCUCAAGGUCUAGUCAUAAAUUUUUAAAGAAAUAACGUCAGUGAAUAUUUGC